rnacentral:rRNA from 1 species
UGAGUAACCUGCCCCUGACUCUGGGAUAACCCCGGGAAACCGGAGCUAAUACCGGAUACGAACCACACAGGCAUCUGAGUGGUUGGAAAGAAUUUCGGUCAAAGGAUGGGCUCGCGGCCUAUCAGCUUGUUGGUGAGGUAACGGCCCACCAAGGCGACGACGGGUAGCUGGUCUGAGAGGAUGGCCAGCCACAUUGGGACUGAGACACGGCCCAGACUCCUACGGGAGGCAG